rnacentral:rRNA from 1 species
CCUACGGGUGGCUGCAGUGAGGAAUAUUGGUCAAUGGGCGGAAGCCUGAACCAGCCAAGUCGCGUGAGGGAAUAAGGCCCUACGGGUUGUAAACCUCUUUUGCCGGGGAGCAAGGGCGGGGACGUGUCCCGGCCCGGAGCGUACCCGGAGAAAAAGCAUCGGCUAACUCCGUGCCAGCAGCCGCGGUCAUACGGUGGAUGCGAGCGUUAUCCGGAUUUACUGGGUGUAAGGGGAGCGGAGGUGGAGUGGUAAGCCAGCAGGGGAAACCCGGGGUUCAACCCCGCGGAUUGCUUUUGAAACUAUCAGGCUGGAGUGCUGGAGGGGUAAGCGGAAUUCCUAGUGUAGCGGUGAAAUGCGUAGAUAUUAGGAGGAACACCGGUGGCGAAGGCGGCUUACUGGACAGAAACUGACACUGAGGCUCGAAAGCGUGGGGAGCAAACAGGAUUAGAUACCCGUGUAGUC